rfam:Schistosoma mansoni strain Puerto Rico chromosome 4, complete genome
GCACUGGUGAGGAGUCCCACAGUCGGACGAAACGGCCGUCCAGUGC